rnacentral:misc_RNA from 1 species
AGUUACCUUUCCCUGUAACAUAUUAUACACUAACUGCCAAAGCACUGGAAGACAAUGGUUAUCCUUUCAAUCAACCAGGUUUCAUCCAAACACUUCCGGCUCCUGUGGGAUCUUCACCUAAUGAAAUGUUGGCACUUGACUGUGAGAUGUGUGUGACAUGUGAAGGGUUUGAGCUCACAAGAAUAACCCUGGUGGAUAUGGAAGGACGGGUUGUCCUUGACAAAUUGGUUAAACCGUCAAAUGCA